UCAUGUUGUUUUUGUGGCGUGAGCCGACAGUUAAUAUGUUUAGCUAUACGCGCGGUUGCCAUGUCGCUCAGCCGCACGUAGGCCGCAACGUAUACGGACGCAGAAAGACCUGCGAGCAAUGACGCAAGCCGAGUGCUAGUAUAUACAUGCUUUGAGACACGAGAGAGAUAGGUGGCCGCGCAGAAAGAAACGAGCGAGGCCUCGUAAAUUUCCACGAUUUGCGCCACCAGCAGAAACUGAGACCCGACCGAUUCUUUUGCGGUUCCACGAAGGAGCACCCUACUGCAUUUCGAAGAAACUCGCUGGUUAUUCUUGCUUCGUCGAUUGUGCCGACUCCAAGUCCCUCUUAAAUACAUCCGAUGAUCGGCAAACGUUGUGACGAAAGGUAUUCCUCAUGGCCAUCUUUAAACGAAUGGAUUUCGUUUCGACUUUAUCAAAAAUCAUGAUAAUGGUUAUCUUUGCUUGAACAACACUGAAUCACGAUCGAGCGAUCGUAAUUGUGCUGUUAUACUUUCGCGUAACAAGCGUAAGAGCAAGAGGCAAGAGGCAAGAGACAAGAGUAGACGUCGAAUAAUAUCGGUAAGUGGCAAGCGGCGAGUGGCAUAUCGUGUGGAAGAGUGUGGAAAGCGCCGUAGCGGUAGCAGACCGGCAGUCGCCUAAGUACGCCACGACGGCUGGCACGUUCAUCGGAUUUGUCCUUGGGGCCGAAGGUAGGCGCAGCCCGAAGUCCGAGGACGUGGCAACGCAGCGGCCAGGCUCCCCCUCCUUUGUCCGCCGGCCGGUCUUGCCAGACAGGGUGUCGCCAGCUCGGUCGGCCGGGCCGUCCGGGUUGUUGCGAGGGGAGAGGAGAUGAACCUGAUGGAGCAAAGGGGCAAGGGGAUUCUGUGGGUUAGUGUCUGUAUAAGCGUGUGACGGAGCAGGCAUUAGGGGGAAGGAGCUAUGGGAGGGAAUCGUUCGAGCAGAUUACUAAAGAGAAACGGAGAGAAACGCGAAAACGAGAAAAAGAAGAAACGAGCUUGUAGCUGCUAAGGUCGAGUGUGUGCGUGUUAUAGGAUCGGUCGUGGACCUACAUUCACGUGGGUAGCCAUGUUUGAAAACUCGCGUCCCGCUGGAAUGUAGCCUACAGGGGCCCCUUCCCUUAUUUCCCCCCUCGCGUCUCUUCUUUCUCCUUUCCAUCGUCUAUACACCACCCUACGCGAUCCCCCCCUCCCCGUUACCGCGCUCAGGCUCGCACUCGGACGCCUACCUACGACUCCACUGACCCCUCAUGGGGCCUCUUUUUCUCUCUCUUUGCCCUCCUAUGGUUUUUCCCUUUUAUCCGCGUUACCUCCUGCUCCUCUCUCUCUCCUCGACGUUCCAUGGUUGGCGCCCCAAAUGGUCGCGUAACCAGAGACGCGCUUCUGGCCUGGCCUGGCUUGGCCUGGUCGCGCCAGACUUCUCGGCGCCCAAAUGAUGUACGUCGACCAUUCUCUUUCUCUCUUUCUUCCCUAUGUUUGUUCGCCUCGGUUUCGUAGCCUUCGCUUUCUUUGCUCUCUUUUAACCUACUGGUAUGUGUGGGUACACGACAAUCGAAGCAUAGAAUCCUACUGUCGAGAGUAAGAGUAAGCGAGACAGGGCACUUCUAUUUACCACUGCCACGACUUGCAACACCUCACCUUUGAGUCCUGUGCCAUACUACUCCUGUGGCCCUUACCUACCUUACUUGUGCGACCAGAGCACGUGAGAAUGCGAAUGUAAAAGAAAAGGGCGUAGCGGUUGCGAUUCCCGGGAAAAAGUGCAUUAGACGGCCCUCUCCGUUAUCCUUGUCUGGUUUGCUCGUGUUUUGUAGAAGCAAAGUCCAGGGGUUCUUGGUAGACUAGCGGUCGCCUAUGAUACCAGCGGUCGUCGAGCCGAUUGAUCGAAUCUUGUCUGCUUCUGAAAUUGUUAAAGUUUUCGUGUUAUUGGCUUCUAUCCAACAAACGACACGAGUUUGUUACAUGUGUUUUAAGUAGACUGCUGUCAAAGCUUGCAUUGUUGCUUCAUUCAGCUAAUUAUACUUUGCUCGCAUAUCUUUGUGUUUUCGUCGAACGAUCUAAAUACCUAUGGAUCGUUGCAAUUAUCUUUUCCAUACAAUACUUGGGGGGGAUUGGCAAUCGAAACGGCGAAGAACGAACGUUAGAUCAUAGUUUUUUUAAGCGCUCUAAACUAUAAUAAGCAGUCGUUCACAGUACGGAAAAAUGAUUCGAGAGUGCGUAUUCAUUCUUUUGUCCAGAGUAAAGAACGACACACGCUGAAAUCGCGGGCUCGGCUAUAUAACCUAAGUUUAUUUAUGUACAUGCUAACUGGGAGAGCGCCACACGUGCACCAGCGUGUAGCGUUCCGUUACUCUGUGUGUGAUGUCUCUGUAUGCAUUUACAUUUUGUAUCUAAUCGGAUAGGUAAAUGGUAAUUUAUAUACGUAAGAAACCGCAGAAAAUUUAAAUAACUAAUGACUAACGACUAGCUCGUGAGUGAAAGCACUUUGUAAUUACUCUAUACGUCGAUUUUAGUUUCGUACUAAAUUUUCGUUUUGUAUCAAAGAAUAUUAGAAAAGUCUAGCAAAUAGAACAGCAUUUCUAGCUUCUUGGACAAAAUGAACACUACGUACUUAGGUUAAGCGUCACAGUUGGUCGCAUCGCUCGUUUGCCCACGUACGAAUACAGAAAUAUACCUUCUCUCUGUGGGCGGUCACACGAUGGCGCCUACUCGUGCAUACCUGUGCAUACCUGCGAAUCCGAGGCUAACCUCGCGGAACGAAAGCAUCGUUUCGUCGAGCUACGAUUUCGAUACGUGCGUAGCACAAUUAUCCGUCCCUCUCUUUUGCUUUCUUCAGCGAUACGAAGGUGGCAAAGGAGAGGGAACGAAUGGGCACGAAGAAAAAUGCAAGGCGUAGAAAGAAGAAACGUUAUCGAGAGCGAACGCAAGGAUCGAAGUGCAUAGAAAUAAAGCGAAAUGCAACAACGCCCACGUUCGCAGCACCGCGGAAUAACAUACACACAUGCUAACCUUUAUCUUAUCAUUGGCGAAGGCGUAUCGAGGUUGACGAGGUUGCCAUGCGUUUCGCCUUUUGGCACGAUGAAAGACAACGACGGUGGUGAAUGACGUUAAUUCGAAACGACUACUAAACAUCCUUUCGCACCCUGUUUCUGCGGAAACCUUGAAUUCAAGCACGAAAUCGUUACGUAGCGUCAACACCCUGACCCCGACGAGGUAUACUACCGCGAUUCACUUUAUCGACCGAGUGGUAAAAAAUUAAGGAUCCGCUAAAAAGUGCUGUAUUAUCCGCGGUUCGCUUUAUCGACACUCAAAUACCAUUAGGACGGUUAGCGAUUAAUGUUAGAUGUACAAUACAUAUUUGGAUCAAUGAUUUUCAUUGUUAGAUCUAUCGUGGUAUGAAAUGCGGCCGCAGAUAUUUCUUACCAAUAAAAUAAUUCAGUCGUUCCGUCGGUAUUGCAAAACGAGUGACUGAAAAUAUUUAUCGUCCAGAUAACCGUUGUCUUCGAGGGUCGGGAGCAGUUAAGCUCGUUGAAUUUAUUAUCGAUUAACGCUAGCCUUUGAAACCUCGUUAAAGCAUGAUUCGUCAUCGCCAGACACAUGUUCUUAUACGUAUCAAAAAUUGAUGAAAAAGAACUGAUUUGUAUUCAUUUCAAAGCGAGCAUAAAAAUAUACACUGACCAGUUGCAACGGCUAUCUAUUUUUAAAGGAAGGUGUUGCAAUUGUUUUUAUCUAAAGUCAACUGACUAUUCAUCGACGGUAAGCGUAUCAAGUGAUUCAUAUUAUUACUUGCAGCAAUAAUAAACGCAAACACGUGCAUCUUUAAUACCCGUCCCAAUACAUAGAUCAAUUAAUCACAAGAUUGAAACGCGUAUUGGCUGUUGACCAAUCGAUACAAUUUGUUUAUGUGUCUGGCUGUACAGCAAAAUCGAUCUACAAUAAUGUUUUCGAACGAAUUUCAUUGCCACUAUGAUUGGCACGUUAACCCUUGCGUAGGCAACCAGGUAUGCAGCUAUCAAUUUCGGUGCAACACAAUUGCCUGACGAGGAAAAAUAAGAGUAGGGAAGAGGUUGCUAUCGAGAUUGUUCUUCGUUUAAUUAUUAAAAUAUUCGCGUACAUAAAUAGAGUACAAAUACAUGUGAUAUUGAUGCGUGUAUGUUGUGUCUCCACUCUGAACACCUACUGCAAUCCAAUUAUAUAUACACUUGUUUUAUUUCAUCUUGUCAGAAUCCAUUUCAUACCGAUGUAAAUGCAGUCAGAAACAGUCUAAGAUACGAAUAAAUGUAAAUUUUUUAAGUACCUGGUUAUAUUUAUUGCAACUGUUGCUCCUUUACCCCCCUUUUUUUUUUAAGUACGAGAAAGCGAUCACCCUCGAAGGGUGAUUCUUUUAAUUUAACAAGCUAAUUCAAAUGACCACUACUGUAGAAAGUGUAAUAAUUUCACUCAAUAAAAAAACUAUGAUUUUGAAUGAAAGUGUGUACGUUCAUAUCUCCCACCUUUAUCCUAUGCACCUGAUAACUGUAAUCGUCCGUUGAGUGGAAAAGCGAACGAUAUGGAUAAAAGUACCACCGUUAUUAAAAUCGAGAUUGUUUCUCGUGAUUAAAAAAAAAAAA